AUUGAACGCUGGCGGCAGGCCUAACACAUGCAAGUCGAGCGGGGUUUUCGGACCUAGCGGCGGACGGGUGAGUAAUGCGUAGGAAGCUACCCGAUAGAGGGGGAUACCAGUUGGAAACGACUGUUAAUACCGCAUAAUGUCUACGGACCAAAGUGUGGGACCUCCGGGCCACAUGCUAUCGGAUGCGCCUACGUGGGAUUAGCUAGUUGGUGAGGUAAUGGCUCACCAAGGCGGCGAUCCCUAGCUGGUUUGAGAGGAUGAUCAGCCACACUGGAACUGAGACACGGUCCAGACUCCUACGGGAGGCAGCAGUGGGGAAUAUUGGACAAUGGGCGCAAGCCUGAUCCAGCCAUGCCGCGUGUGUGAAGAAGGCCUUCGGGUUGUAAAGCACUUUCAGUAGGGAGGAAGCGUUGUGUGUUAAUAGUACACAGCGUUGACGUUACCUACAGAAGAAGCACCGGCUAACUCUGUGCCAGCAGCCGCCGUAACAC
rnacentral:rRNA from 1 species